rnacentral:rRNA from 1 species
UACGGAGGGGGCUAGCGUUGUUCGGAAUUACUGGGCGUAAAGCGCACGUAGGCGGCUUUGUAAGUUAGAGGUGAAAGCCCGGGGCUCAACCCCGGAAUUGCCUUUAAGACUGCAUCGCUAGAAUUGUGGAGAGGUAAGUGGAAUUCCGAGUGUAGAGGUGAAAUUCGUAGAUAUUCGGUAGAACACCAGUGGCGAAGGCGGCUCUCUGGGGCGGUACUGACGCUGAGACGCGAAAGCGUGGGGAGCGAACAGG